rnacentral:rRNA from 1 species
GAUACCCUGGUAGUUCACGCAGUUAAACUUUGAUCACUAGGUGUAUCGGGUAUUGACACCCUGCUGUGCCGGAGUUAACGCAUUAAGUGAUCCGCCUGGGGAGUACUGAUCGCAAGAUUAAAACUCAAAGGAAUUGACGGGGGGCCCGCACAAUCGUUGGAGCAUGUGGUUUAAUUCGACCGCAACCGCGAAGAACCUUACCUGGACUUGACAUCUCGGGAAUUCCGUUGAAAGACGGGAGUGCCUUUAACGAGGAAUCCGAUGACAGGUGCUGCAUAGCUGUCGUCAGCUCGUGUCGUGAGAUGUUGGGUUAAGUCCCGCAACGAGCGCAACCCCUAUCUUCAGUUACCAUCAGGUGAUGCUGGGGACUUUGGAGAUACUGCUUCCGGUUAACAGGGGACCCACCCUGGGGAUCACGUCAAGUCCUCAUGGCCUUUAUGUCCAGGGCUACACACGUGCUACAAUGGUAUGUACAAAGGGAAGCGACCCCGCGAGGAGGAGCUAAUCCCAANAAGCAUAUCAAAGUUCGGAUCGGAGUCUGCAACUCGACUCCGUGAAGUUGGAAUCGCUAGUAAUCGCGGAUCAGCAUCCUCCUCUGAAUACGUUCCCGGGCCUUGACACACCGCCCGUCACACCAUGAGAGUUGGCUGUACCAGAAGUCGUUGG